rnacentral:rRNA from 1 species
UACGAAGGGGGCUAGCGUUGUUCGGAAUUACUGGGCGUAAAGCGUGCGCAGGCGGCUUCUCAAGUCAGGGGUGAAAUCCCGAGGCUCAACUUCGGAAUUGCCUUUGAAACGGGAUCGCUUGAGUCCGAGAGAGGAUGGCGGAAUUCCUAGUGUAGAGGUGAAAUUCGUAGAUAUUAGGAAGAACACCGGUGGCGAAGGCGGCCAUCUGGCUCGGUACUGACGCUCAGGCGCGAAAGCGUGGGGAGCAAACAGG